rnacentral:rRNA from 1 species
UAUAGAGUGGCGCACGGGUGAGUAACACGUAGGUUAUCUACCUCUGAGUGGGGAAUAACAGUCGGAAACGACUGCUAAUACCGCAUAAUACCGAAAGGUCAAAGCUUUAGUGCUUGGAGAGGAGCCUGCGGCAGAUUAGCUAGUUGGUAAGGUAAUGGCUUACCAAGGCGACGAUCUGUAUCCGGUCUAAGAGGACGGUCGGACACACUGACACUGAAUAACGGGUCAG